rnacentral:rRNA from 1 species
UACGUAGGGGGCGAGCGUUGUCCGGAUUCAUUGGGCGUAAAGAGCUCGUAGGCGGCUUGGCAAGUCGGAUGUGAAAACUCCAGGCUCAACCUGGAGCCGCCAUUCGAUACUGCUAUGGCUAGAGUCCGGUAGGGGAGUGUGGAAUUCCCGGUGUAGUGGUGGAAUGCGUAGAUAUCGGGAGGAACACCAGUGGCGAAGGCGGGUCUCUGGGCAACAACUGACGCUGAGGAGCGAAAGCGUGGGGAGCGAACAGG